GGCUACACCAUCUCCAAACACACAGAUGCCAUCUUGACAAGCAGCAUCUCCAGGGCUCAGCCCCCAGGUCUGUGGGGAGACGAGCUCAGGCUUAUCCUCCACCUGGGUCUGGUUCGCAGGCAACAAAGGCACCCACGGGGCUGGAAGUCCCCUGGGCAUGACUGGAGUCAGGCCUGGGGUCCUGGGGGAGGCUGUUACUCAGACGUUCUGUGGAGGCCUCCAGCAACCAGCAGGUGUGCAGGGUAAGUGGCAUGGUGACACACACAACGCUGGUGGACAAAGCAGGCAUGCCUUGGGCUCCAAGAAUUCCCUGGGGCUUUGUCACGUGGGCCAAGGCUGCAGCUCUGCCUCUAAGCCCUAGCAGCUCUGGGCCUGGGCCAAGGCCUCCUGAGUAGGUCCGACUGGGGUGUGGCAAGGUGGGGCGUGAGGGCCUGGGCACACCAGGCUCCCGCCGUCAGCUGUCCAAGUAGACAAAGAGGAUGUCCUCAUCUGUGCCAUAACUGGUUCUGGCUUCCUCGAAGUUACUGAUGCUGGUGCUGCACAUUCCUGCUGAGGGCAGGAAGGGCAGAGUGGGGUCAGCAGGUAGAGGGGGGUUAUACCUGCCUCGCUGGCGCCCAGGGGAGCUGGGGGAGAUCUGACCAUGGCCCAUCUGCCUGGCCACCCUUUGCCACUCAUCUCCCACCCCAGGAAGCCUUCCUUGCCUAUUUCAGUCUUCAUGAGCUCAUUCUCUGACCCUUCCCCAAUUUCAAAGAUGGAGAAAGUGAGGUCCAGAGAGGAGAAGAAACAUGCUUGAGGACACAUGGGUUUCCACACGUGAGGAGUGAGGAUAGCACCAGCUUCCCACUCAAGAAGAGAGCACGUGUCGGAUGCCACUAGAUGAAACCAAGCCUGGUUGGAAGCUGGGCCUCCUGUAAACCCCAGCCAUGAAUAGCCACAUGGAUGAUGAAUCCCACCCAGGUCUCUCCGUUUCUCCUUCCAGCCAGAGCAGACAGUGUGGAUGGGGAGGACCUAGGCUUGCGCACUCACCGCAGGACCAUCUUGGAGCAGGCCAGGCCGCAGUCCCAGUGGUAGAGCUGCUGGAUGAUGGGCACGGGCAGCUGCACAAAGUCUCCUGAGUGGAAACACAAGGAGGUCAUAGACCCUUGGCACUGUGCCUGUCACUGCCACCCCCAUUGGCUCCUGCCCAGAUCCUGUAGGGCUAUUCAGAAGCUGGCAAACAGCCUUUCAGGUGCCCCAAUCCAUUCUCCUUACAACAGCAGUAAUCUCCCCAAAACAACCAGUCAGAGUAGGUCAGCUCUGCACAAAAUCCUGCAAUGGGUUGGUUCCUGCAUCUCUUAGGACAAUGCCUUCAUGGCUGCUGCCCCAGCACCCUCUGCCUUCUUGCUUCCCCUCAUCCUCAUUAGGCCUAACUCUAGGCAGAACCUUCACCUGUGAUCCCAGGGCCUUUCCACACCUGUUCCCACUGCCUGAACUCUCCUGGCUUCCCAGGUGCCUGACAUAACUCCUGCCUUUGGAUAUGACUUCUCCAUGACAUUGCCUCCAUCAUGCUAGCCCCCCACUACAUGCACUCACAGACCCACACGUCUCACUUUUAGAGCACUCUUUUUGGUGGAACCUCUGAGGAAACUGGGACAGGGCAGGCACAUGGGAGACGCUCAGCAGAAUUCAUGUCUGAAUUCAUGAGGCCCCUGGAGGUCUGCGUACCUCCCAAGACUCCCAGGGCCGCCAAAGUGUGAAGUCCACAGUUAGAAAGAAGGAAGACUGUCAUGUAAUCUGUGUAUGUGCAACGCUACCCUAGGUGACCUCUCAGUCUAUUCUUGCCACCCAGUUUGGAGGAGCAGAAAGGGCGCAACCUAAGCAUUUUAGCCCCAGCUCUGUCACAGGCUGGCUGUGGGCUGAGCAACUGACUUCCUCUCGCUGGAUGGAGUCUGGCUAUCUCUAAAGUGGGGGACUUUGAUCUGAUUCAUUCAAUCAACAAAUAUUUCCCAAGAGCCUAGCACCUGGCAUGUGACCUGGAGAUGUGGUGGCAAGUGACAUAAACAGAUCCCUAUCCUGGUAGACAGCAAAAACAAGCAAGUGUAAGGGAAAAUCAGAGGGCUGGUCUGGGGAAAUGGUGGGGGUAUGCCUUAGAGAGUGAGGGCCAGAGAAUGGAACACAGAGGUGAAGAGCAGGCACUAAAAUGGCAAGGCAGGGGCCAGCUGGCAUGUGGCCUACUGGAACCGCCUACUUUGGAAUCCCACAAAUCUGGACAAAGUUCAGAGUCUAGAGAAAUGGGAGGGCCACCUCUUCAGCUAUCACCACUCACUGCUCAUUCAUGACACCCACUCAACAUGGGAAAAUCCGGCCCAUGUUGUUUCUUCGUCUCUGGGGGUCUCUGGAGUCUCUUUUGAACCCAGGACCUGUCCAUGCAGAGCUGCCCGAGAAGCUGGCUUACCAUGCCAACCCUGGCUCCCACUGCAUGUAGCAACCAGAAGGGCCCGGAUGUCUCUCCUGGCUUUUCAACCUGCUGGCCUUGUCUGGGCAGUGUCUUGCCUGGAGUGAGUCCCAAGCUCCUACUCUAUGUGUAAACCCUCCCCAGCCUUCAAGGUCUGGCCAAGAUGCUAGGGGCCUUUUCUGAUCCUAGGCUGGCCAUGCCCUUGCCCUCAUCUGCACUCUGCCAGGCCAGAGUUCACGCUUUGGCUCACAGGACCCUUGCAUCGAGCUUGUUUGUGCCCUGCUGAGCUGUUGUACAUUCACAGGAGGCAGGGACCUGUGACUGCUCCUUCACUGCCUUAUACUUGGCCUUGCUCCCCUCAUUCCUCACCUGCAAGGGCAAGCAGCAGGGUGUCGGGAUGGCAGGACGGCGUGGGCGAGUACAGGCCUCUUGUUGGCUGAGUCACUUGAGAGAGGCAUUUGGCCUCUCUAUGCCUGCUUCUUCCUCUAUGAAAUGGACCACCAGAGAUGCCAGUCUGGGGAGUGCUAUGCGCACUCAGGGCAAGGGCAUGUGGAAAGCUCUUUUCAGGUGCUGACGUGAAUGCUGCCCUCCAUCCAGGGGGACCUGGCACACUGAGCCAAUUGGGCUGAGGCUUUGUUCCCUCCUUCCCCUGACCCCAGAUGCCUCUACAAGGAACACAGGCCAUCAUUCAAGGCCUUCCGACAUUUGCCUCUUCCCACUGACAUGGAUUCAGUUCUGAGGGCUCAGUGCAGCCUGACUUCUGCCUAUCCUCUGUUCCAAACUCCACCCCCGGCUCCUCCCCCGUCAUACACAGUAGCCAGGGGGAUCCCAUCCAUGGGCUCCCAUUACUCUCAGAAUAAAGUCAUCACCCCACUCCACGGCCUGCAGGGGCCAGCCCCCAUCCUCACCUCGGCCCUGACACCUCACGCACCGACUUCCAGUCACCCUGGGAAGGCAUCAAGCUGCAUUACACCCCUCUGCAAGUGCAGCUGUCUCUGUCUGAGACUUUCUUUCACCUGCAGUUCUCCAGGCUGCCCCUUUUUGUCAUGCAGGUCCCAGCUCAAAUGCUCCUCCUCUGAGGAUUUUUCUGACCAUGCUUUUGGGAGAGGGGGACCUCCUUCCCAGCAUCCUGUUUGUUUCCCUCACAGUACUUAGCAAGAUUUAUAAGAAAAUUGAAAAUAAAAUAGAGCUACUCCAUCUCCCCACAAGACUGUAAGCUUCCUGAGGACAAAGAGUUUGCUGAUCUUGCCCACUAGUGCCUAGUGUCUGAUGCUUAGCAGUAAUUCGAUAAACAUUUGUUGGAAGAAAUGAACUUAUUAAGCCCUCAAUGUGUGCUACGAUUUGAGGACACUAAGUCCCAAGUCCUGCCCCCCAGAUUCAUAUUCUAAAAAAUUCCCUGCAAUGGGCUGAGUGGAGAGAGAGAACUUAGCAGGGUGCUGUUCUCUCACUGUGGAAUGCGUCCCUUGUCCCUUUUCAAGAACCCUUCGCUGUGGCAAUAAACUACCUUUUUGUUUCUCUGUAUAGAGGCUAUUUACUCCCCAGGCUUUGCUCUUGCAAAUACCUUAGUCUGGAAUGUUA